rnacentral:tRNA from 1 species
CCCUAGCUCAGUCGGUAGAGCGUUUCCAUGGUAAGGAAAAGGUCAUCGGUUCGAUUCCGAUGGG